rnacentral:rRNA from 1 species
UACGUAGGGUGCAAGCGUUGUCCGGAAUUAUUGGGCGUAAAGAGCUCGUAGGCGGUUUGUCGCGUCUGCUGUGAAAACUCAGGGCUUAACCCUGAGCCUGCAGUGGGUACGGGCAGACUAGAGUGUGGUAGGGGAGAUCGGAAUUCCUGGUGUAGCGGUGGAAUGCGCAGAUAUCAGGAGGAACACUGGUGGCGAAGGCGGAUCUCUGGGCCAUAACUGACGCUGAGGAGCGAAAGCAUGGGGAGCGAACAGGA